rnacentral:lncRNA from 1 species
GAAAACACUGCUUGUCUGCCCAACAUCUGUGACAUCACAAGCCCUGCCCCUCUGUCCCAAGUUAGGCUCUGAAGUCUCAGGAAAUGAAUGCAGCUGACCUGGCAACCUAAGACAAGCCCUCUUUGAUUUGAAAUCAUCAGAACACAUAUCAAAGGAAUCACCCUCUUCAAAACAUACCUGUUGAAACAUCAUCCUCUUGAACCGUCCACCCAGGCAAACUACACAGAAUUGAUACCUGGCCAGAGACCCUGCAGCGACAAUUAUAGAAGAUGAAUGGUGCUCCCCCCACCUCGGUAAUGUCUCAGUAUCUUAAAAACAAUUGAUAUUU